GACUACAAUUCCCAGGAUUCAGCGCUCCUGGACCAGUUCUUUCUUUCUUUCUUUCUUUCUUUCUUUCUUUCUUUCUUUGCCCUUCAAAUUGGCGGCGCAAUGCUAUAUGCAUGUUUACUCAGAAAUAAGCCCCCCCUUGUGUUCGGUGGGGUUUACUUCCGGGCAAGUGAGCAUAGGAUUUCAGGCUGCAUAAAAGUAGGGCAGACAGCAACAUGUUCAGGUCUUCAGGAAGUCCCCCUGUGAGGGAAGCUUGUGGCGUUGGGGGCUUUUUAGUUUAGACAAAAGGCGAGUAAGAGGGGACAGGAGAGAGGUGUCAUGGCAUGGAGAAAGUGGCUAGAGAAAAGUUGUUCUACUUCUCUCAGAACAUUAUAACUUGUGGCCAAGGAAGAGGAAUGUUGGAAGAUUGCAGACAGGUGAAAGAAAGUACAUAUUCUUACAGCACAUAGCUAAACCAUGGCAUUCCCAGAUUUCAAAAAAUGAAAAUUUGGACAGAAAAGUUAUUGAGGUUUUGUUGUUGUUUUGCAAAGUUGCUGGGUUUUUGGACGUUUUUGAGCCAUUUCUGAGGGAAAUCGGCAAAAAUGACACUGCCGACAUGGGCUGUCAUACAUCUGGAUUUUCCCGGGCAAUUCUUUAACCAGUUCCCUCCCAGACACUGCUUGCAACUGCAGUAUUCCGGAUAUGUCCGGGAAAUUCCAGAUGUAUGGCAACCCUACUUCCACAGGAGGCAAUGAUGGCCCGUAAUUUGAAUAGCUUCAAAGGUGGCUUAGACAAAUUCAUGGAGGUAACAGCUACCAGUGGCUACUAGAUACGCUAUGUUUGGAGGCUGUAUGCUUCUGAAUACCAAUGGCUGGAAACAGCAGGAGGGGUGCAUGUCCUUGUGCCUAGGCCCUGCUUGUGGGAUUCCCACUGGCAUCUGGUUGGCCACCGUGAGAACAGGAUGCUGGACUAGAUGGGCCAAUUGGUGUGAUCCAACUGGCUUUUCUUAUGAUGCCAGCAGCCAUGCCCUAUUUCAGGAUGUUCCAUUUCUACCACUACAUUUCCCCAAUUUGCUUCCCACAUGCACACCCACUUCUAAAGGGCUUCCCUCCUUAUUCAUUUUACUUCUGCAAACUUUGGGGUUCCCCAAAGCUUGCUGAUACUUCCCUCUUUUGCAUGCGGAUGGUGUCAUUUUGACUACAUUUGCAAUGGCACUCACAACUUGAAUGUUGAAAAUAUAGAGACUUCUAUGCACACAGUCCCUCCAGCAUUAUUCAGACAAAAAGUAGGGUCAGUUUGAUGUUUGUUAUGUAGACAUUUGUCUUGUGUAAGAAUGUGUCAUAAAAAUACUUUAAGGAGUGUCUCAUCCCAGACUAGCUUGCCUGCAUGUUAAGAUAAUUAGUUCUAUGCAAGGUUGUGUGUUAUAUUGCAGAUUUUAACCACCAUUUUCAAACCUGCACAGAUUUUUUUGGUUUCUUACAAUUCUCAAGCAGCAUUGGCUGCUAUUAACCUAUAUUAAGAACUUUAAUGGAGUGGAUAUUUGUAAAUUUAAAUUGCACUAAAAACAUAUUAAAAAUAAACUCAUCUGCCACCACCCUGUGCCAAAUUGCAUCUUCAUCAGAACUGAGCUGUUUCAAUAUAUUUGUCUGUCAGCAGCAAAGAUCCAUUUAUAGAGUGUCAUCCCCAAGCAGGGUUGCCUAGCACUGACUCUGUUGUCUUUUGAGUGCUACCAGGAAUGAGGAACAUUUGAGGGCCACCACUUCCUCAUCACUGAAAUGGAUAAUGCAACUCUGAGCUCCAUAUCUAAUCCUGUCCAAAACGAGUGACAUUAAGGUGCUCCUCCUUCCUAAUACCCCUGCAUCAUGUGUACUAACAGCAAGCUCAAUCAUCUUGAGUGUUGUUCCAUAUGUAGCCGAAGGCAGUGCUAAGUAGGCUGAAGCCUAGGGCCUCUAAAUCUAUGAGGCCUCCCCUCUCCUAAAAUUGCAAACCCAAGACUUCAUGUGAAGGCAGGGCAACUCGGACCCAGCAACUAUGAGACUCAGAGCCAGCCAGUGGGGCCCAAUAUGAAACUCUGGGGCCCAACUUGAAAUAUUUUUGUGGGGCCCUAGUUCACAGCCAAAGUCUGCAGAAUCUUAGAGAUAUAAAUCUGUGUGCUAGGUCAUUUUCACAAGGUCAGCAAAGCCCUUCAGAAAUCAGACCUGUAACUGAGUUCUUGUGCAAGUUUGUACAGUUCUGGAUUUUUAAAGGAAAAUUAGAGAAUAUUUUGAUGAGCUUGAGAAACAAGCAAAAGCCACCUUGCCAAAUGUUAACUACAAAACAAGGAAACAGUGAGGAAACGGCAAAGAAAUGACAGAAGUGCACCUGAUGCCUUAGAUGCACUUUCUUCAAGAGAUAAGUUUAGGAUAAAUCCUUUAUUUCUAUAUGAGAUGCACUUGAAGCCAAUUUAAAAAGAAGUACUGUGUACAGUGAUGUUGCACAAUUGUUUUCCCAUCCUUGCUAUUCUGAUAGCAUCUAAGCAAGAAAUUCAGCAGGGUGUUGAACUCUUGAUGGAAGCAUACCCAGAAGAUAUUGACCUGAAACUUAUUGAUGAACUUUUGCACUUUCACCUGUAUGUGAGACAAAGCCAUAGGCUUACAGCAGAGCACUCUCUCAUAUAGACCUUUAUCAAAUUCAGAUGGCCUUUCUUAACAUGGAAGCAAUUUUGUGGCUAUUUCUUAGCUUUAUGGUCACUAACUGCUCGGGAGAGAGGAGUUUUUCAAGACUCAAAAGAAUUAAAAAUGAAUUAAGGGCCACAAUGUCUCAAGAGGUUGUCCACACUGAGCAUUCUGUACAUUGGAAGUGACAAACUUAAACAAAUUUUGAUGAAGUUUUCUGAUGUCCUUUAGAGGAGAAAUUGUGAGUUGCAGAAUUUUAAAUACAGUGGUGCCCCGCAAGACGAAUGCCUCGCAAGACGGAAAAACCGCUAGACGAAAGGGUUUUCCGUUUUGAAGUUGCUUCGCAGGACGAAUUCCCCUAUGGGCUUGCUUCGCAAGACGAAAAUACCUUGCGAGUCUAGAGAUUUUUAUUUCGCUUUCCCCCCCCUUUAUCUAAUCUGCUAAGCCUUUAAUAGCCUUUAAUAGCCUUUUAGCAGCUAAUCCCCUAAGCCUUUAUGCCUUUAAUAGCCGCUAAACCGCUAAUAGCGCUAAUAGCGCUAAUCCGUCAAUGGGCUUGCUUCGCAAGACGAAAAAACCGCUAGACGAAGACUCUCGCGGAACGGAUUAAUUUCGUCUUGCGAGGCACCACUGUACCCAUCAUUAUCCUUGGCUUCACUCAGUUUUGUUUAUAGCACUCUUCCAUUUCCAUAGUCAUGAGGGUGGGGCAGUGGCGUAGCGUGGGUUGUCAGCACCCGGGGCAAGGCAAGUAAUUUGCGCCCCCUAACCCGUGGAGAGUGAGUGAGCCAGGUAGGGGCAGAGCACUGUGAGUGCGAGAGCGCGCCCCCCAGAUGUUGCGCCCGGUGCGGCCGGCCCCCCCUGCACCCCCCACGCUACGCCACUGGGGUGGGGGAUUGGGAGGGGCCUCACGAGUAGCCUAGGGCUUCUCUUCAUCUAAAAAUGGCCCUGGCCAAAGGGUUGGAUUCAGGGAACUUGGUGCACUAGCAGGAGUCAGCCAAUAACUCCUGCUAGCACAACAGGCCUUUCCUACCUCCCUUUCCCCCUGUGCUCCUUCCAGUUCCCCCAGAUACACUCUAGAAGAUUGGGAGAACUUCCAGAAUAGCUCAUAGGGCAAGAGAAGGGAGCUUGUUCCAUCUAGCAAGCAGAAAUGCUUGUGUUGAUGGACCAAUGGUUUUAGCAUGAUGAAUUCCACCUAAAAUGCCACCACCCACAAGAGAGGUAUCAGCAUGCUUGGGGAACUCUCGAGCUUUUGCAGACAUGCAGCAGUCUGGGUGGGGGAAACCCUAACGCUGAGCAUGGGGAGCGUUUGCGUAGCACACCUACACACUGCAACCAACACGCUAACGUGUCAUGACACAGUUUGGAAAGCUCUGCCCUAAGGAUAGGCAACUAAAAAUAGCCCAAAGAGGAAUGAGCAUGCUCAGUGAAUGGCCAGGGAAUGCCGACUUACUGUUGAGUGGAAGGGGCAGAGGGAGAGCAGAACAGAACAGAAAACUUGGGGAGAGGGGUGGAAUGGAAUAUCCUGGAAGAGGAUGCAACUGGCUGGAACACUGAACAUAGUAGUGAAUGGCAUAGUGGGCCAGUGACACUUACCUGACUUCCCUGCAGGUGCAUUACUGUUGCUUACAGGGAAGGAGAGAAGUGAAGCAGUUGGGAAGGUAGUGCAAGUACAUUAGGAGGACCACCUAAAUGGCUCUGCUGGUGUGUUUGCACUGCACUGACUUCUCCACUUCCUUGCUCCCCAACCCCCAGUGAGCAGCAGCGACUGACUCAUCAGGAGGUAAGGUAAGAUAUCUCAGCCUCACCAUGUCAUCCGCUGCUGCCUGAAGAGGAGCACUCCACACUGCAGUAUCUUCUUGUAGACCUCACUUCUUAUCACUCCUUGCAUUAUUGCCACAACAAAUGUGGGUCAAAAAGAUAAACUGGAACAUUUGUGGUGUAAACUGUUACAGGAUUGCAACAUGGAGUUUCGGGACAUGUGCUGAUUAGAAAAGAAGCAGUAUGGCCACCCAGAAAUUUUUGCAAGCAGAACAAGAAUUGAAAGCAGAAUUGUGUAUAACCAUCCUGAUACCACAACAAACCCAAUAGAAAAGGGAGCAUUCAGACACCUACACAACAACCUUGCUAAAUAAAACACGAUGUAGUUACCAGUAUAUAUGUUGGCUGAUGGCAAAGUACAAUUGUACUUGUAGACUUUGUACAAAACAAGAAGCAUGAUGGCAAAGCUCAGAACUUAAGUGCUGUAGAUAUGAGAGACAAAAGCUCCAGAAUUAGCAGCAGUACAUAGAGCUCUCCGAAGAAAGGGACCCAUAUUGUUGUUGAACAGCUGGAGCCCUCCCACUAGGACAGGCUACAAAUAAAACUAAAAUCUACUAUCAAAGGAGUAGCCCUCUUGCGCAGCAGAGACUUUUUUAUCCAUUUGCUGGAAUUCAGAGCACUGAGUUGCUGUUAUUAUAUUCCAUUUAGGCUAGCAGAAUUCUAGUGUCUUACAGGAAGUUUUGGAGGCCCCCCCGUAAAUGUAUUAUAAAGAACACACGCAAACGCACACACACAUCACCGGCUAAUGUUAGAGAGCCAUGUAGAAAGCAGCAAGCAGAGGAGUUUGUGAUUGGUGGACUCCUCCUGCCUCUUUUCCAUCUACAGUGUGAAACCUCUUGAGCGUCUUGUCUCAGAGAAGGCAGCUCCCCUUGCAAAAAGUUCCAUCCAUCAGAGCUCUGAGACAGCUUCACCAUGAAGGCCAUCCUGAUCCUUGGUAUUGUGCUACUGAUGAAUCUGACUCUGGCUGUUGCCACUGAGGUAAGGAGUGGUCUUAUUGGAUGUGACAAUUGAAAUGAGAAUCUUCAGUUGCUUCAAAACCCUGAUUUCAGAUACUGAAAGAAGGCUGUGUUUAUGUAGUGGCUGCAGUUUGGGGGAGUGGAGGUGGCAUUCAUACAUAGGAAUUGAACAUAUUUAAUACCACCUGUUUCUGAAAUGCAAAGCCCAAUCCUGUGCAUAUUUCCUUGGAUGUAUGUCCUGCACGGAGUUCAAAAGUGCUUACUCCUGUCCCAAGUGAGUUCACAUGGGGAAUGCAGACAUUGCGUACAUUGGAUGUAGGAGGCAAUUCUAGAGUAGGACCAUGGAUAUAAAGCUUGGAAUUUUUAUUUUGCAAAGGCAUGCUCCAGCCAGUGUUAAGUACCCUUAGACUCUGCUGGUUUCUGUAGAUCGAACUCUGCUAAUUUUGGUUUCUCUCAGUUGUUCAUUUUCCCAAGCUUAACUUCACUUCUCCACAUUUACAAUUAAAAAAGAAGUUAAUGCAAGUUCGUUAGCAUUUUAGUGCACAUUUCUCCUAAUAUAUUUUGCCUAACAUGCCCCUUUUUGCAAAGCGAUUUCCCCUAAUAUAAUGCAUUUUGGUGAGUUAUUUUCAAUAGUAUACACAUUUGUGUAAAUGUUGUUACAGCAUAUGCAUAUUUGUAUACACUACUUGACUGGAGAACUGCAUUGCAAAAUACAGAGAAGUGUGAAUUUCAAGGGGUGGUUGUGUUUUUGUUUGUGUAUUGUUAUGGAAAGUGAAAAUUAGAUAGGUUUGACUCUAAAUGUGAACUGGUAGGGAUGGGGGAGAAAUUAAGUGGUUCAAAAUGUCAGAAAUUUGUAGUCCAAUGUAAACUCCCCCUCCUUUUUGGAGGUGAGUCCUGUGUAUUUGUUUGGAUUGGACUUUUAACAUGGCACAUAAACAUAAAUGUGCAGGUCUCCUUACAAAUAACCCCUGGUGAAUUCAAAGGGAGAUAAGUUUCUUUGAUCCUUACAAAAAUAUGUGUAAAGAAGCAGACAUAUCUGUGAAGAUUACCAUCUGACCAAGGGGAAGCUGUCCAACCCAUCCCACAUAGCCUACUUUUACACCUUUAACAAAAAGCUCAUGUGUAAAAAUAUGCCUUUUGGGAGAUAAAACAGGUGGGGGACUUUGUGGUCCUUCAGAGAUUUUCUAGAUUACAACACCCAUCAUCCCUGACCAUUGGAUAUGCUGGUUGGGGCUGAUGGGAAUUUGAGUCUAUCAGCAUCCGGUGAGCCACGGCCUCCCCAUCUCUGAGACAAAGCAUUAUCAAUCUGUUCUUAAUGGCACAAGCACACUGGCCAGUUUAAAAUGUCCCGGACAUUUUGCCGCUUUCUGCCCGGACACUGCUUCUGACCACAAGGUACAUUCAAAGGAUUAAACAGCAGUUUUCCACUACUGCCCCUUGUGAGGGCUGAUAAAGCAAGCUGCUGUUUAUCUGACAUUUUAAAAAUCUAAACUGGAAAAGUCAACGCUUGUCAAAACCUUCAAACUCACCUCUUGUGGUUUAUGGGUGAUGACCAACUGAGGAUUAUAAACAUGGGUGAGUACCAGAUUGCUGCUUUAAAACCACAACCAUUCUGAUAGAUGCAAUUUAUCACACACAACACUUUUCUUCUCUUAACUCACAUAACCAACUUUCUCUAAUUUCCUGCCUAGGAAGCUCCUUAAGAGAUCACAAAUGGGUCAUUGGCAACAAAUGUUUGUUUAUGGGUUUCCACCCUGGAAAUAAUAAAAAUGGGUUAAGUGCGUGGGGAACAAGAUGCAGGCUAGCUUUUUAAGGACAAUCAUGGUGCAAAAAACAUGCAUGCAUGAAAAUAGCAACAGAUAUCUCUAGGAUAUCUGCCUGUUCAACUCUAACAGCUAUAACUGUUUAAAGUGGUAUAAGAGCACUUUAAAAAUAUGGGGCGAAUGUGGCCAUUGUCCCCAUGGGAGGCCUAGGUGCUCCUUGGCUUGCUUUCAGACAGACAUGGACACUGUUUUAUUUCAGCAAGCUUUUUAUACACAGCCAUCUUUGUUCCACACUUUUAUUACUUUUUUCAGUCUUUUGAAAAAAUAUUGUAGUUUGUGAAGGGUACUAUGAGUUGGUAGGAGACGCCUAUUCCCCUCACAGAACUACAGUUCCCUGAGGGGUUUAACAACCCCUCUUCCCAGGGAACUCUGGGAAUUGUAGAGGGAACAACUCUCAGCACUUUUAACAAACCACAGUUCCUUGGAUUAUUAGGGGGAAGCCAUGACUGUUUUAAGUUGCAUGCUGCUGCUUUAAAUAUAUAGUGGAGUCCCACUGAGUCCAGUGGACUUUAUUCCCAGGGUAUAACCAGUGCAGACUGGAGCUGAUGUGAAUUAUAGUCCUGAUCAUCUGGAGGGCACCAGGUUGCAGAAGGCUGAUGUACUCGCCAGAUCUGAUUUCCCUGGUAUUUGGGGUGCGGUCUCCUUGCCACCGCUGCAGUUCUCAGAACGUUGCCUGAGUUUCCUUCUCUGCUAGAAUAACAGGAAACAGGUUUCAAGUGCUGGCACUGCCUUGAGCAGGGCCUGUCAUUCUUUACUGCUUGCCUGCCAAUCUCAAGGCCCAGAACAUCAGCUGCUGGGGGCCGGCUGGGGAGAGGCAGUCAGUCAGUUGUAAAACUUCCUGGGAAAUAGGUGCCGAUUAGAUAGCAGUGAAAAAUAACCUUUUAUGAGGGUGGGAACAUUACAUAUGCAGCAAACUUCUGUGGCACCAUGCUACUGUGGUAUCUUUCUCAUUGUGUAUCUAAAACAGAAGUAAGGUACCUCAGGACUGAGAACAAAAUGAGGCCCUUGGACUUCCUGUGGAGUCUACCAAGGCCUCAUCCUUUACAGGCUCUGCUCCCCCACUGCCUGAAUGUAUUCUUGAACUCUGAAAAAUGUCUUUUUCUCUGGAUGAAGGACAGAGAGGGGGUGUGGGGGUGUAGCCACAAGCUACUGCACAUAGGUGGGAAAUGUACCUCUGUUGCUUCACCAGCCUUUGUCUCCGGGUCUGUUUUGGGAUGUCUGUCUACAUUUUGAAGUACAGUCAUACCCUGGAAGUUGAACGGAAUCCGUUCCAGAAGUCCAUUCGACUUCCAAAACAUUCGGAAACCAAAGCGCGGCUUCUGAUUAGCUGCAGGAAUCUCCUGCAGCCAAGCGGAAGCCACGGAAGCCCCGUCGGACGUUCGGCUUCCAAAAAUAGUUCCCAAACUGGAACAGUCACUUUCGGGUUUGCAGCGUUCGGGAGCCAAAACGUUCGAGAACUAAGCUGUUUGAAAACCAAGGUACGACUGUACUUGACAUAACACUGGUGUCACAUCUGAGUUGUUGUUGUUCUUCUAAUUAUGAAAUCUGUUGGUCCCCUUUUUGACCAAGGUAAUGCAAAGGGACUUGUAAUCUAUAAACAAGCUACAGGUAAAGGUAAAGGGACCCCUGACCAUUAGGUCCAGUCGUGACCAACUCUGGGGUUGCGGCGCUCAUCUCGCUCUAUAGGCCGAGGGAGCCGGCGUUUGUCUGCAGACAGCUUCCAGAUCAUGUGGCCAGCAUGACUAAGCCGCUUCUGGUGAACCAGAGCAGGCACGGAAACGCCGUUUACUUUCCCGCUGGAGUGGUACCUAUUUAUCUACUUGCACUUUGAUGUGCUUUCGAACUGCUAGGUUGGCAGGAGCAGGGACUGAGAACGGGAGCUCACCCCGUCACGGGGAUUCGAACCGCCGACCUUCUGAUUGGCAAGUCCUAGGCUCUGUGGUUUAACCCACAGCGCCACCCGCGUCCCUAUCUAUAAACACAUACAUUAAAACCAGCACAGAAUAGAAACAAGGAAAAUGCCCAAAGGCAAUCCUGUUUUUAAAAGGCAGGAUUGAAACAUUUUACCCACUCAAGGAGGCCACAGAUAGUUAAGAGCCAAAGGCCUGGCGAAACAGACAUGCCUUGGCCUGGCGCCUAAAGUUAUGUAAUGAUGGUGCCCGGCGAGCCUCCCUGGGGAGAACAUUCUACAAGUGGCGAGCCUGGUGAUGGGUGUAAGAGUCUAACAACAUCUGAAGGGCAUCAGGUUUCCCAUCCCCGAUCUAAAUAGACCCAAUCUGGGAAGACCAUUAGGCUGUAUCCAAGUAAGUUUUGCGCAGAGUUUUCCCAUUGAAAGUAAUGUACCCUAACUUAGUCAUGUUCAGUCAUUUAAAUGGGUUAGCAUUGGAAACAACCCAUUGGCCCAGAUUCAGCGUUCUCUGACUGCCAGUGUAAGGGCUGUUGCACUAGCUUAAUGUCAAAAGCAAAGUUCAAAAGUUUGUGAUCCCUUCAAUGUGAGUAAACAGCACUUCCUCUAUUUGGUCCAGAAAAGAACAAAAGUAUGUCAAGAUGCAUGUGAAUGCAGGGAGAGCAGUUUUCUCAUGCAAGGCGGAAGAGAGCUUUGUUUGAAGGAAAGGGGUGUAGCUCCGUAGUAGAGCAGCUGAUUUGCAUGCAGAAGAUCACAAGUUCAGUCCCUGGUAUCUUCAGGUAGGGCUGGAAAUGUCCCCUGCCUGAAACCCCGGAGAGCUGCUGCUAGGCUGUGUAGACCAUACUGAGCAAGAUGGAUCAUUGGGCCUGACUUGGUAUAAUGAGUCUUCCUAUGUUGGUAAGGUAUCAACUGUGUCAACUAACGUAACAAAGUACCCUGCAGACCUUCAGUUUUGUUGAGAACUUCUCUGACCCCAUAUCAUAUACUCUUCUCAUUUGCUCUUCAGGACGCAGCAGACACUCCCAAAAACAUGACUCCUGCUUCUACACCAGUCUCCAGAGCCAUGUCCCUCAAUGGCCCAGCUUGCUUUCUGCUACCACUCCUGAUGGUUGUGAUUCAUCUCCUCCGAGUAUACUGAGCCUGGAGAGUCACUCCUAUGAGGGUAUUCCUUGGAGGGCAAAUUCAUCUCUUUUCUGCCUUUAGGGAAACCUUCCCUCCACCAAUGAUCCAGCCAGCACCUAUGCUCCAGCUACAACCAACCCACAAUUUUGGGCCAUGUGGCAAUAUUCAUGGUCCAAAGGCUUUUGGCUUCAUCUUCACCACAAUGGCUGCUUUAUCUGCAGAAUGAGAGGCAAACCAGAAGGACUUCUUGAACUUGAUCCAGAUGUGUGGGCUCAUGCUCAGAUGGUCUUCGCAGCAGGCAAUGCACGCAGGUCUAGAAUGCAUCUUCACAAAGACAUAUUGGUUCCCUCAGAUAGGCAACCCAAGUGUCACCUACUCAUGUGCACUAAUUAACAAGAGGCACAAAUCCACUGGGAUGUUUGCUCGGUCAGGCCCUCCAGGAAGAAACAGGAGUUGUGCAUAAGCACUGCAAGGCUCCUGUUUAUUUCUGUCAGGAGACUGUCCUGAGGCAUUGUGGCUCAGAUCUGCCUCCUAGUCUGCCACCUUCAAGGGCAUCCUAAAUCUGUCAUCCAAAGUCCCAGAAGAUGACCACCCACCUCUUGUUUCUAUAAGCCUUUCAGUUAAUGCCAUGCUAUCCUGUGUGAAGCAUCCCACCCACCCACCCAACUUCAGGAAUCAUUUGAGGUCGCUUCCUGGUCUUCAGGAGGUCACCUCUUGAUUAGCAGCAAAUUCAGGUGUGGAAUGUCAACCCUUUGAAGUGGCAAACCUCAAGAAGUUGGCUGAAGAUGGUCCAAGAAGAUAAACCAUGCAAGAUAAAAAGCAGUGUUUGCAAAUGUUCUGCCUUUGUUUUCUGUAACCCCCCACGCAGGGUGGGUGAAUGAAAUAAAAGCUUCUUGGCUGGAAAGCCUGC